UUAGGUGGUAACGAACUAGCGAUAACAUGUUGCUUAUUAUGUCAUGUUGUGUGUAUUGCUUUAUGGACGCCGAUGUCUUUUACUUCACCUCCCUUUCUCCUUCAUAUUUUUUCAAGUAAAUGACAAAAUACUGAAAUUUUAUGAGAUCGUUGAAAUUUUUUGACGAGGUUCAAAGUGUACCUACCUACUUGUAUUGGCACAGUUUGGUUUUUGUAAGGAUUGUGUUCAACCUGGAGAAAAUUGCAGCAAAAGAAGAUGCUGUCUUGCAAGAUGCAUAAACGGAUAUUGUCCCUUUCUUGACAAAUAAAAUGCCUUCUUGUGUAUCUAAUUAUUCGUUAUAAAAAAACCAGUAGGUAAUAGGAUUUGUUAGAUCAACUUUUGCAUAUAAGUACCUACCUAUUAAAUUGAUUCAUUGAAUUAUAUUUUAAUUAGAUAAAAAUAUAACUAUGGGAGUGGAAUAAUUGCAUCAGUACAUUUUGUUUGACAAUUCGUU